rnacentral:rRNA from 1 species
GAAUAUUGGACAAUGGGCGAGAGCCUGAUCCAGCCAUGCCGCGUGCAGGAAGACGGUCCUAUGGAUUGUAAACUGCUUUUGUACGGGAAGAACAAGGGGCACGUGUGCCCCUCUGACGGUACCGUAAGAAUAAGGAUCGGCUAACUCCGUGCACGCAGCCGCGGUAAUACGGAGGAUCCGAGCGUUAUCCGGAAUUAUUGGGUUUAAAGGGUCCGUAGGCGGGCCAUUAAGUCAGGGGUGAAAGUCUGCGGCUCAACCGUAGAAUUGCCUUUGAUACUGGUGGUCCUGAGUUAUGGUGAAGUGGCUAGAAUAUGUAGUGUAGCGGUGAAAUGCAUAGAUAUUACAUAGAAUACCGAUUGCGAGGGCAGGCCACUAACCAUAUACUGACGCUGAUGGACGAAAGCGUGGGUAGCGAACAGG